UGGUUAAGUGACUAAGCGUACACGGUGGAUGCCUGGGCAGUCAGAGGCGAUGAAGGACGUACUAACUUGCGAUAAGCGCAGAUAAGGCAGUAAGAGCCGUUUGAGUCUGCGAUUUCCGAAUGGGGAAACCCAACUGCAUAAGCAGUUACUGUUAACUGAAUACAUAGGUUAACAGAGCAAACCGGGGGAACUGAAACAUCUAAGUACCCCGAGGAGAAGAAAUCAACCGAGAUUCCGGUAGUAGCGGCGAGCGAACCUGGAUUAGCCCUUAAGCACUCGGUGAAGUAGGUGAACAAGCUGGAAAGCUUGGCGAUACAGGGUGAUAGCCCCGUAACCGACGCUUCAUCGAGCGUGAAAUCGAGUAGGGCGGGACACGUGAUAUCCUGUCUGAAUAUGGGGGGACCAUCCUCCAAGGCUAAAUACUCCUGACUGACCGAUAGUGAACCAGUACCGUGAGGGAAAGGCGAAAAGAACCCCUGUGAGGGGAGUGAAAUAGAACCUGAAACCGUGUACGUACAAGCAGUAGGAGCACCUUCGUGGUGUGACUGCGUACCUUUU
rnacentral:rRNA from 1 species